UACGGGGGGGGCGAGCGUUGUUCGGAAUUACUGGGCGUAAAGGGUUUGUGGGUGGUCUGCUAAGUCAGACGUGAAAUCCCUCAGCUUAACUGGGGAACUGCGUCUGAUACUGGCGGACUUGAGGACAGGAGAGGAACGCGGAAUUCCAGGUGUAGCGGUGAAAUGCGUAGAUAUCUGGAGGAACACCGGUGGCGAAGGCGGCGUUCUGGACUGUUUCUGACACUGAAAAACGAAAGCCAGGGGAGCAAACGGG
rnacentral:rRNA from 1 species